UACGGAGGGUGCAAGCGUUAUCCGGAUUCACUGGGUUUAAAGGGUGCGUAGGCGGGUUGAGUAAGUCCGUGGUGAAAUCUCCGAGCUUAACUCGGAAACUGCCGUGGAUACUAUCAAUCUUGAAUAUCGUGGAGGUAAGCGGAAUAUGUCAUGUAGCGGUGAAAUGCUUAGAUAUGACAUAGAACACCAAUUGCGUAGGCAGCUUACUACACGAUCAUUGACGCUGAGGCACGAAAGCGUGGGGAGCAAACAGG
rnacentral:rRNA from 1 species